UCCCCAGUGGCUCAGUGGUAAAGAAUCUGCCUGCCAGUGCAGGAGACCCAGGUUCAAUUCCUGGAUUGGGAA
rnacentral:tRNA from 1 species